GGAUUGCCUCAGUAACGGCGAGUGAAGUGGCAACAGCUCAAAUUUGAAAUCUGACUCUGUACGGAGUUUGAAUUGUAAUUUGUAGAAGGUGUUUCUGGACAUGAUAAUGGCACAAGUUUGUUGGAAUAUGACGUCAUAGAGGGUGACAAUCCCGUAUUGGCCGAUUAACUGUCCUUGUGAAACCCUUUCGACGAGUCGAGUUGUUUGGGAAUGCAGCUCAAAAUGGGUGGUAAAUUUCAUCUAAAGCUAAAUAUCAGCCAGAGACCGAUAGCGCACAAGUAGAGUGAUCGAAAGAUGAAAAGCACUUUGAAAAGAGAGUUAAACAGCACGUGAAAUUGUUGAAAGGGAAGCGCUUGCAACCAGACUUGCUUGCAGUAUUCAGCCUCUUGAAAAAGUGGUGUACUUGCUGCCUUGCAGGCCAACAUCAGUUCCGGCGGCUAGACAAAAACUCUCGAAAAGUAGCUUCAUUCGUGAAGUGUUAUAGUCUUGAGUACAAUGUGGCCAGCUGGGACUGAGGACCGCGCUUCGGCUUGGAUGUUGGCGUAAUGGUUGUCAGCGACCCGUCUUGAAACACGGACCAAGGAGUCGACCUAUAUAGCGAGAACUAGGGCAUUAAACCCUUAUUCGUAAUGAAAGUGAACGUUGGUGGGAGCUUCGGCGCACCAUCGACCGAUCCGAGUUCGCGAGGAUUUGAGUAUGAGUUAUUUGGGUCGGACCCGAAAGGCAAGACUUUCCCUCCUUGAUUAAUGAGAAUCUACUAACUUUUAUGCAGAAGGUGAACUAUUCCUGACUAGGCUGAAGUCAGAGGAAACUCUGAUGGAAGGUCGCAGCGGUUCUGACGUGCAAAUCGAUCGUCAAAGCUGGGAAUAGGGGCGAAAGACUAAUCGAACCUUCUAGUAGCUGGUUCCUGUCGAAGUUUCCCUCAGGAUAGCAGUAACGAAAUACAGUCUCAUGAGGUAGAGCAACGAUUAGAGGCCUGGGGGCAGUAACUGCCUUCACCUAUUCUCGAACUCCGAAUAUGUG
rnacentral:rRNA from 1 species